GUAAGAACGGUCCUUAGAUCAUAUAUCAUAGAUCUUAUAAUAAUAGACACGAAACUCGUAUGACCACAGCAUUACGAGCUACGUGAAAACAUAUCAUAGUGAUGUAGCCCACCUUGACACCAAAUGUACUGAUUUUACAAUAAUACGCUAAUGCAAAUUAUCGUAUGCUUACUGUACUCACGUCACAUAAUCAACGGUUUUACAGUGAAUAAUUGUAUAUAAUUUUGUAUUUUGUGCUAACAAGUGGGUCGUAAGUGCUCAUAAUAUUAAAUUGGAGUAUCGGGCAGUUAAGUAUAAUUGAUACUUGAAUAUUCAGAAUAUAGGUAAUGGCUUAUUUUUAUUGUGAUUUUAUGGUGUGUACAAUUAUUUACAGUCAAUCAGUCAGCGCCCUCUAUCUUUUCAUGGCCGGUAUGUAAUCAUUUUGUGUCUAUUAGUCUAAGGUUUAUGUAUACUUAUCUAUUAUCGUUCUGUUUACUGAUUAUUGAUUUCAAAACUCAUCAAUCUUCAUUCAUAUUACAUGUCAUGACGAUCAUAAUAAAAUCAACAUGAUACAUUUUUAUUAUGAAUCAUUCUUGUCAUUUGAGUCUUGAGACAUGAACAAUAGGUAGCUAAUAAUUUUUUUUUCAACUUAUAUAUAUUUUGUAAAUGACAUUUAGCAUUUUGUAUGCAUAAAGCUCACAUAUUUUAUUAUUCUAUUAUUAUGGAUGACACCAAUUAAUUAGGUAACGAAAAAAUUAAUUUCAUUUAAUCUCGAUCCUUGAUCCAUUCGCAAAUACUGGAUCCCGGAAAAAAAAAUAUAAUGCAUAAAAAUUAAUUUUUGUUUCUUUUGAUCGGUAAGUUUAACUUGUAAUGAACCUCAUGUCAAAUUUUCAAACAUUCUAUCCGCAGAGUACCUACCAAAUAAAAAUUACGUUAAUAAUCGAAAAAUUAAAAUAUUCAUAAAUAUAGUUUAAAAAUGGCUCAAAUGAUUUCAAAAUAUUAAUACGGGUAUGUAAAACAAAUAUAAUUUUUCAUCAAAAUUUCAAGUCUAGAUAUGUUUUUAACUUUAUUAUCAACAUAAAACCAAAAUUGAAUACAAUAAAAUAAUUCAUUUUAUUACAUUUUUCAUUUAUUUCGGUAUUGUCCAAUUAUUGCAAAAAUUACUUGAAAAAUCAAUAAUAAUAAUUGUACUAUAUAAACUGUAUUAUAAUUAAUAUUACGAUAUUAUCUUCAUACAACAAUGAAAAUAACAUUUGUAAUUGAUGAAAUUGAUAGGUCUCAAAAUGACAAAAUCAUACAGCUGGAAGCAAUUUAAUUAAUUAUUUAUAUCUGCGGGGAAUAAAAGUGACUGGCUGAUAACAAAACUCAAAGAUAUGAUCUAAGGAACGACUACUAUAAAAUGAUGGGCAAACUCGUGCCUCAAAUUCAAAAUACUUGGCAAAUACAUUUUAUUAUUACUUUUUAUUGAAUGAUUAAUACAUACAUGAUAUUAUAAC